UACGUAGGGGGCAAGCGUUGUCCGGAAUCAUUGGGCGUAAAGCGCGUGUAGGCGGAUUUGUAAGUCAGGGGUGAAAUCCCGAGGCUCAACCUCGGGUCUGCAGUCGAUACGGGCAAACUGGAGUGUUGCAGGGGAGACUGGAAUUCCUGGUGUAGCGGUGGAAUGCGCAGAUAUCAGGAGGAACACCAACGGCGAAGGCAGCUCGCUGGGACGGUACUGACGCUGAGGCGCGAAAGCGUGGGGAGCGAACAGG
rnacentral:rRNA from 1 species